rnacentral:rRNA from 1 species
AACGAACGCUGGCGGCAUGCCUAACACAUGCAAGUCGAACGAGACCUUCGGGUCUAGUGGCGCACGGGUGCGUAACGCGUGGGAACCUGCCCUUAGGUUCGGAAUAACUCCCCGAAAGGGGUGCUAAUACCGGAUAAUGUCUUCGGACCAAAGAUUUAUCGCCCUUGGAUGGGCCCGCGUUGGAUUAGCUAGUUGGUAGGGUAAAAGCCUACCAAGGCGACGAUCCAUAGCUGGUCUGAGAGGAUGAUCAGCCACACUGGGACUGAGACACGGCCCAGACUCCUACGGGAGGCAGCAGUGGGGAAUAUUGGACAGUGGGCGAAAGCCUGAUCCAGCAAUGCCGCGUGAGUGAUGAAGGCCUUAGGGUUGUAAAGCUCUUUUACCCGGGAUGAUAAUGACAGUACCGGGAGAAUAAGCUCCGGCUAACUCCGUG